UCCUGUUGCAUUAUUUAUGCGCUUUUAGUGUCGCAGUCUUGCAGUCAGCAAUCUCGCAGGCGUCUAGGAAUCGCGAGUGAGAACAUUACAACGAGCUCUACGGAGUCAUCAGAAUUAUCGGAAAAUGAGUUGACCGACGUAGAGAAUGAACCGGAAUGUAUAAAGUCUUUACAAGGAACGGCAAAAUCGAAGCGGCAAACGAGUUCCUCUCAUAUCAAGACGAGCUGAUCGCCGACGAAGAGUGGUUGCCGAAUUACAACGCCUCUGUGAAUACUCCUCCUCAACACAAGACAAUAAACAUUGCAGAUGCAGCAAUAAUAAACGUAGAGACAUGACGGAAAAACAUGACGUGAUGCUUCAAAUAAUCCCAUUUCACAUCGAAUAAGUACAUUCUGGAACCAACAACACGACGUAAACAUGGGCCAUGCUUUGCGCUGGUACAACAACAUAGCCGUUAUGACUGUUUUUCAAUGAUCUCUAGUCUGUCGAAACGUGGGUCCAUUAGCAUUUUCUCAACUAUUUGAGUAUUGCCAUUCAGGUUAAAUAUUAUGACCUUCAGGUUAAAUAUUCUCUAGUCAAAAACCCUAAUGGACCCAAUCAUUUGCGAGCUGGAUUCAUUUUUGUGCAAGGUCAAGCUGUUAUGAACUUUGACGAUGGCGUCAUGUUUUGUCACACGUUACAAAUCAAUGGCUAAAAUCUCUAUUAAAAUGUCCCGGCUGCAACUUUUGCUAAAUAAGAGAUAUAGUCCCAAUGCUAUAGAAUACGUUUUUA